AUCUAGCUGAUGGGUCCCAAAUAGAACGAAAUUCGUGUUCUAGAU
rfam:Schistosoma mansoni strain Puerto Rico chromosome 2, complete genome